GACGAACGCUGGCGGCGUGCUUAACACAUGCAAGUCGAACGGAAAGGCCCUGCUUUUGUGGGGUGCUCGAGUGGCGAACGGGUGAGUAACACGUGAGUAACCUGCCCUUGACUUUGGGAUAACUUCAGGAAACUGGGGCUAAUACCGGAUAGGAGCUCCUGCUGCAUGGUGGGGGUUGGAAAGUUUCGGCGGUUGGGGAUGGACUCGCGGCUUAUCAGCUUGUUGGUGGGGUAGUGGCUUACCAAGGCUUUGACGGGUAGCCGGCCUGAGAGGGUGACCGGCCACAUUGGGACUGAGAUACGGGCCAGACGCCUACGGGAGGCAGCAGUGGGAAAUAGUGCACGAUGGGCGGAAGCCGGAUGCAGCAACGUCGGGUGCGGGAGGACGGCCUUCGGGUUGUAAACCGUUUUCGCCUGUGACGAAGCGUGAGUGACGGUAAUGGGUAAAGAAGCACCGGCUAACUACGUG
rnacentral:rRNA from 1 species